UCCGGGAAAAUGUUAAAUCUAUUAUGUAGCAAAUAGUAUUAAAAUCUACUUUUAUCGUUGAACACACACUGCAGCAAUGAUCGUCGUAAAGUCUGCAAUUAAAUAAUUUAGAACGUAAUGAGCUCGGGUGCAGCAAUUUACGACGAGGAAUUAAUAUCGUAUUGUAUUUUGCGCAGUUUUGAUUGUAACGAAUUCGUGUAUAAAUUUCCCGUGUAAAGUACCCGUUGAAAUCAUAAAACAAAAAUAAAUUACACCGCAACACAAUAAAACGUUUUAAUAAAAUAAUAAUAAAGUAAAAACAAAAUUAUGAAUUGGUUAAUACUCGUAAAUAAAUAUAUGAAUAAAUAAACUAACUAAUUAAUGCGUUGCUUGAAGUAAAUGUGUAUUAUAAAAAAUAUAUGAAGAAAUAAACCAACUAAUUAAUGCGUUGCUUGGAGUAAAUGUGUAUUAUAAAAAACGACUACACAUUUUAACACAUGAAAGUACUAGACAAAAUAAAAAAAGGACUGAUACUGAAGACGGAGCGGCCCCUGUCGUAGCUUGAUGGUUGGAAAGGUGGGGUACAUUAAGUUAUUUAAUUUAUACCUGUAAACAACGAUAAACCACCGUUAACGAGAAAUAAUUCGGGGCGAAAUUCGGUUUUACAUAUUUUUAAAAGCCGAAAUAUU